AUGGCUCGGUCAAGAUGGAGUCUUGCGAGCAGCGAGCGGUCGGUCAUCCCUGUGCGGCGUGGCGAGCGGCGGUGCUUUCCUGGUGAUGCCGGCCUGGGAUUUCUCCGUGGAGAGGCGGGUCUGAUUGUCGCAAGGCCGUUUCUUGGAGUGGGUGACGGCCGUCGCGGGCAGUCCUGGACUUGGCUGGAGGUGCUGGUUGGCUGCGGACCCACGUGUAGGCUGGGAGUGGAUGGUGUGGCCGCGGUUUCCCUGCCGGGUGGUCGGUCGUUGGUCCUCGGCUAUGCAGCUACUUCGGCAAGUGCUGCGGUGGCGGCGGUGUGA
rnacentral:rRNA from 1 species